UUGCGCCCAUUGGUAUUCCGAUGGGCAUGCCUGUUCGAGCGUCAUUAUCCUCCCUCAAACCUCGGGUUUGGUGUUGGGCCGUGCUGGUUCCUCCGUGACCAGCUGGCCUCAAAGACAAUGACGGCGUCCGUGGGACCCUCGGUGCAACGAGCUUCUAAGGAGCACGCGUCGAGUUUCAAGGACCUUCCGGGCCGGUCUCCCUCUUUUACUAUCACAAGGUUGACCUCGGAUCAGGUAGGAAUACCCGCUGAACUUAAGCAUAUCAU
rnacentral:rRNA from 1 species